UACGUAGGGGGCGAGCGUUGUCCGGAAUUAUUGGGCGUAAAGAGCUCGUAGGCGGCUUGGCAAGUCGGGUGUGAAACCUCCAGGCUCAACCUGGAGACGCCACUCGAUACUGCCAUGGCUAGAGUCCGGUAGGGGACCACGGAAUUCCUGGUGUAGCGGUGAAAUGCGCAGAUAUCUGGAGGAAUACCGGUGGCGAAGGCGGCAUCCUGGACCGACAUUGACGCUGAGGAGCGAAAGCUAGGGGAGCAAACGGG
rnacentral:rRNA from 1 species